UGGGGAAUAUUGGACAAUGGGCGAAAGCCUGAUCCAGCCAUGCCGCGUGUGUGAAGAAGGUCUUCGGAUUGUAAAGCACUUUAAGUUGGGAGGAAGGGCAUUAACCUAAUACGUUAGUGUUUUGACGUUACCGACAGAAUAAGCACCGGCUAACUCUGUGCCAGCAGCCGCGGUAAUACAGAGGGUGCAAGCGUUAAUCGGAAUGACUGGGCGUAAAGCGCGCGUAGGUGGUUUGUUAAGUUGGAUGUGAAAUCCCCGGGCUCAACCUGGGAACUGCAUUCAAAACUGACUGACUAGAGUAUGGUAGAGGGUGGUGGAAUUUCCUGUGUAGCGGUGAAAUGCGUAGAUAUAGGAAGGAACACCAGUGGCGAAGGCGACCACCUGGACUAAUACUGACACUGAGGUGCGAAAGCGUGGGGAGCAAACA
rnacentral:rRNA from 1 species